GCGGCUACGGCUCAGCGACGGCGAGUUCCUUCCCAAUCCCCGUCGAUUAGGGCGAAGAAAUCUCCAGUAUAUCUAAUGGUACAAUAUUGGCCUUUUUCUCUGUUUUUUUGUUUGUUCAGGUGUGUUGGGGAAGAAGAAUACGCGGCGACAGACAGACCAUCUGCAAAACACCUUCCUUGCUUGCUCGAUCCUGUGCUGCCGGCGCUCAUAAGCUCGGGCUGUUCCGGCCUGUCACUGUCCUCAUGGUACGAUGAUAAUCUUCCUGGCUUCAUUUAUCUUUGUGUUGUUUUCGUUCCAAUCUGGAUUUAUUUGAAUCACAAAUAGAAUUGGGAAUUCUUUGUGGGAUCUGCACCUUGUGGUAUUUUGUUGGAUGCAAAGUACAUGUGCUGAUUUGGUGAUCUGAACUGAUCUCGAUGAGUAAGGUGCGUCAUUCAGUUUAAUCAGCUCAAAUGGGCAGUGGUUGGUUUUGUGAUACUCCAAACAGUGUAUAUAAAUAGGGUUAUCUUACCAUUGGUGCUGCAACCUGUCAUGGAAUGUAUUACAAUUUUUCUGUAUGUUAGUUCACAAUAAUUGGCCAGUGAUUGAUUUUCUGAUACUCCAAACUACGCAUAUAAAAAGGGAGUUCAGUCCGUUGUUUCUCAGUAUUUUGUGCCAGAAGAAGUGAAUUUUUUUUAAACCUGAACUCCGACUUUUAAUGGCAUGUGAGUUAGAACAAAUUUCUAAUAUGUGUUCUCAAGUUCUAGGAACUAGGUGAAUGUUUUAGUUUUGAUAAGUAUUGCAGUAUUAGAAUGGUGCUAUAUGGUCUAUACAUAACGUAUGGUAGUAUAUGGUUUAUACAUGUUGUUUGUUUAUGAUUUUCCUUGGAAUGCUUAGUUCUGAAGAUCCAGGAAUUAUGGCUAUUGGCUUAGAAAUACGUGGGUUCAGUUGCUGGGUACAGAUUGGUAGAGUAAACUAAUUUAGUCCAGGUCACAUCAUAAACGGGAAUUCACACCAUGUUGGAGCAGUAUGCUCCUCCAAUCUAAAAUGCAAGAAAGCUUUAUGAUGAUCACAUUAACAGUAUGGUUUCUGUCCAAUAUUCAUGUGUAAACACGGACUGAUAUAGGGUAACUUGCUAAAUCCAUUUUUAUUCUAUUUUGUAUUUGUCCAAUCUUCUGACCAGACAAAACACUUCCUCUUAUUGUUAGUUCAAACACAUUUUUAGGUGACAUCUCAGCGUUCUAGGGGUUCCUAAAAUCAUGAAAAGCUUAUUAUUUCUUCAGUCAGUGUAUCUUCUGACUGUAAAUGUGCCAAAGUGCUUAUCUCUGACAAUUUCUGUACAAAUCUUGCUGUUUCUGGCUGUUAUCAGAUAGCUGACAUAUUUCUUCAAGUCUUCCUUUUUUUAAGUGCUCAAUUAAUAAGGUUCAUUGAGCUACUGCAAAUAACAGCGUCGAAGUGGUGCACAAGUGCAUAUCAGGUCUACCCAGCAUCUGAAAACAAAAAAGGGGUUCUGAACUUAACCAGUGGGGAUGAACUUGAAGUUGAUUUGCUUAGGUCAUUUCCUAGGGUAGAUCCAUUUCUUAAAAGGACAAAGGUAACUUGCGAUGGUCAGUUUUACCACAAUUAUUGAGAGGAGGAAAAGUAUAAGAUGAUCCAGUCUGGGGGGUCUCUGUAAUAUCCGGAUAGGAGCUACAAGGCUUUACAAGUUUAUACAGCAUGGGUGUACAGCAAGGCUAGAAUAUGUUUCACUGUUGCAAUUGGUUUCUUGAUGAACAUUUUACAUUAAAUGAUCAGCUACUUUGAGUACUGUCAAAUCAGCCUUGCAUUACUGUGUAUGUGUAUCAUGCAGUGUCCUCCUAGGAGAAGGGAGUAAAAUGUGUACGUGUAUCAGGCAAUGUUAUUCUAGACGAGAGGAGCAAAUUGUGUCAAUGAGGAAUUGACGAAAAUAUUUGAUUAUAAUAUCGAGGUUAGGUUCCAUGGUCUUCUGGUCACAUUAUUGAUCGCACUGAAACUGCUUAUAUGUUAUUGGAGGAUCAAGACUUUGGCUUGACUUCCGCAGCGCAAGAGGUGGUGUGCCAAUCGCAUCUCAGAGAUAAUUGGGCGUCCACCGUCAUUGGCGAGUUAGGAUGCCAAGUUGAUCAACUACCCACAAAAAUCACAAUAUUUUUUCAAUCUUUAGCUCUGUUUCUGAACUCAUUGAAUUUACCAAAGUGCUCCUAAUCCAUAACGUGGGCUGCUCUUGACGUAACUAUUCCUAUACGGAGUAGAGCCCCGGAAUGGGUGUUGUUCAUCCCUACAGCCACGGCAUCAAGGUAUUCUACAGUAUGCCUGCGACCUCCAUACACAGGUCCACCCAAUUAAAACUUUUAUGUGAAUAGGAGGUUCAAUAAACAGAUGUUUUUUCACGUCAUGCAUUAGCCAGUGUAGUUACUUGCUCUCUCCCACAGAUGAUUUGGAUGUUCUAUCUUGGUUCUUAAUACAGGCUGCAUCUACUCUUUUGUCUGCAUUGUAUAUGUUAGUAUUUUGUGUAUCGGCAAGUGGAGGUAUGAUGCAUUUUCUCUAGAUAUCUUCCAAUUCAUUUGACAUUUGACUUUAUAUUUCUGAAAAUCAUGCCUAAUAUGUUAUAUAAUCUUUAUUUUGUUUUAUCUGAUAGUCAGAUUCUAGACCUAAUAAUGAAAAAACAAGUUAGCUGCUUGGAGUGAUUUAGUUGUAUAGCUUUUACUCACAGGUUAUUUAACAUUAGUGUGUG